rnacentral:rRNA from 1 species
GACAGAGGGUGCAAACGUUGUUCGGAAUUACUGGGCGUAAAGCGCGUGUAGGCGGCCAGAUAAGUCCGCUGUGAAAUCUCGAGGCUCAACUUCGGGCUGUCGGUGGAAACUGUCUGGCUAGAGUCCGGAAGAGGAGAAUGGAAUUCCUGGUGUAGCGGUGAAAUGCGCAGAUAUCAGGAAGAACACCCGUGGCGAAGGCGGUUCUCUGGGACGGUACUGACGCUGAGACGCGAAAGCGUGGGGAGCGAACAGG